AACGAACGCUGGCGGCGCGCUUAACACAUGCAAGUCGAACGAGAAGGCGUAGCAAUACGCUUGUACAGUGGCGAACGGGUGAGUAAUACGUGGGCGACCUACCCUCGAGUGGGGAAUAACCCGCCGAAAGGCGGGCUAAUGCCGCGUACGCUUCCAUCUUUAUGGAGGUGGAAGGAAAGCCGUGCCGUGGGCACGGCGCUCAAGGAUGGGCUCACGUCCUAUCAGCUUGUUGGAGGGUAACGGCCUACCAAGGCUCCGACGGGUAGCUGGUCUGAGAGGACGAUCAGCCACACUGGCACUGCGACACGGGGCCAGACUCCUACGGGGAGGCAGCAGUGAGGAAUAUUGCGCAAUGGGGCGAAAGCCCUGACGCAGCGACGCCGCGUGGGGGAUGAAGGUCUUCGGAUUGUAAACCCCUUUCGGGUAGGGAAGAUGGGACGGGCAACCGUUCGGCGGUACCUCCAGAAGCAGCCACGGCUAACUUCGUGCCAGCCG
rnacentral:rRNA from 1 species